rnacentral:lncRNA from 1 species
CCUAUAUUAUUCCAAAAUAAACAUUCUACACUAAAUAAAUAUCUUUUGACAGUAAAAUGAUAAUUUAAAUCAUGUUACAUUCUAGGAAGUACAGAUAAACACAGGCAGAUUUUCUCGCUGAACUAGUCCUUAAAUCACCUGAUUAAAAUAUGAUACUCUUGGCCAGGUGCCAUGGCUCAUGCCUGUAAUAGGUGCCUGUAGUCCCAGCUACUUGAGAGGCUGAGGCAGGAGACUUGCUUGAACCCGGGAGGCGGAGGUUGCAGUGAGAUGAGAUCACGCCACUGCACUCCAGCCUGGGCAACAGAGAGAUUUAAAAAAAAAAAAAAGAUACUCUUAUAAAAGUGUGUUAUUUUAAAGAUUAAUACAGUAUAAAAUACUCUCUAGUUGCAAGAAUGCAUCCUUGAAAUAUUCAUUAAAUAUUUUCUAAGGGCCCACAUUUGUCAUGAGGAAAUAUUUUAAGAACGGGUAGAAUCGAGUUCCAUUUUUCAAAUCUUUAAUAUAGAAGCAGAUAUCAAUUAAUCUUUUAAAAACACAAUUUUGUUUGCCAUGAGCUUUUAUUUGGGCUUCUACUUUGACACAUGUUUUAGCUUUAAGGUAUCUUAAAACGUAGGGGCAUUUAAGCUUUUAGAUCUCAUAAAACUUCCUGAGAACAUGCUCUGACUCAGUCAGGCCCAGAAAACAACCACUCUUUCUUCCUUUUCUCCCUCCCUGAAACAUUUACUGAGGGCCUCUAUGGUU